UGGAAGACUAGUGAUUUUGUUGUUUUUAGAUAACUAAGACGACAACAAAUCACAGUCUGCCAUA
rnacentral:pre_miRNA from 1 species